rnacentral:rRNA from 1 species
CACGUAGUUAGCCGGUGCUUAUUCUUACGGUACCGUCAUGGCUCCAGGGUAUUAACCCGAAGCUUUUCGUUCCGUACAAAAGCAGUUUACAACCCGAAGGCCUUCAUCCUGCACGCGGCAUUGUUGGAUCAGGCUUUCGCCCAUUGUCCAAAAUUCCCCACUGCUGCCUCCCGUAGGAGUCUGGACCGUGUCUCAGUUCCAGUGUGGCUGAUCGUCCUCUCAGACCAGCUACAGAUCGUCGGCUUGGUAAGCUUUUAUCCCACCAACUACCUAAUCUGCCAUCAGCCGCUCUAGUAGCACAAGGUCUUGCGAUCCCCUGCUUUCAUCCGUAGAUCUCAUGCGGUAUUAGCUACUCUUUCGAGUAGUUAUCCCCCAUACUAGGCACGUUCCGAUGUAUUACUCACCCGUUCGCCACUCGUCAGCAUCCGAAGCCUGUUACCGUUGACUUGCAUGUGUAAGGCAGUGCCGCCAGCGUUUCAUCUGAGCCAGGAUACCG